GGCGCCCUGCAUGCACGGGGUGCUGCAAGAGUGUGUGCAUGCACAGGCUGCUCACGUCUGCUUUGCAACACUUCCACCUACAGAAUAAAACCCAGAAUGGCAGCAGAGCAGCUGAUGGCCGUGGGAGCGGCUCAGCCUCACCGAGGGGUUCUGUUUCCUGGGACAAGAACGGGUGCAGCCUCCAGAGCUCCACUGCGAUAAUGCAAGCCAUGGGCACGGGCUGGGAGUGCAGCGUGACCCCGUGGGAACUUCCUGAGGGAAAGCAAGUUUGAGGGAGGGGCAAAGCGCAGGUUCAGCCCCUCUCUGCACUCACAGUGCUCCUCACAGCAGCAUCUAUACAGAAGCACUCCGCAUUUCCCAGGGAGAGGCCCUUACCGCAGCACCCCGUGCUUAGCCCACGACGCUGGCAGCUGUCCCCCCAUGUGUGAGCUCCUCCCCACCGGCCCCAUCCCAGCACCCCCAUCUGUUGGGCCCCAGCCUUCCCCUGGUCUCCUCUUACUCUGAAUUGCAGCUCUGAUUGCACAGCUUUAUGCUCUUGCAGCGCUUUGCUGUUGGAACAAUUUCUUGCCAAAAGCACAGCACGGUGCUGUGCCUUCCUGCUCCCCCCGGCUGCCAUCUGCCACCCAGCAUAAAGCAAACGUGGGGCUGCUGCUGCCCAUCUGCUCACCAUAGAGUCAACCGAGCAGCCUUCCUCCCGCCUGCAGCAGCCACUGCACCGGAGGCUGCAAUUGCUGGAAGUGCCAAGGAGACAGAGGGAGACACACAAUACCUUUCAUUGUGCUUCAUCUGUGUACUGCAGCACUGAGUCCAAGUGGGUCCUACUGCUUCCAUCCAUCCUGGAAAGAAGAGACAAGCACUGAACCCCUGCUAGCUGCCUGCGAGCUCGCUGUGUAAGCAAUCUGCAGCAGAUGGUGCCCAGAUGUUCCCCAUCCCCAGAUGUUCCAGCUUUAUACAGAAGACAACUCCCGCUCUUCAGCUCUGGAGCGAGGGCACGAGGAGCACAGAAGGGUAAUUAGUGCUUACACACAAACACCAACACAGAGGCUGAUUCCUCCUUACAGUUUCACUACAGGACACAAACUUCUGACACCCACCAGAGCCUGAGCUAACUGUGCUGCCUGGAAGCCACACUGUUAUGGCUGCCCAGGGCUCCCUACUUGUACCGAUGGAAAAGUUACCUUCAUCUCCAUAGUAACAUAACACUGCUGCUUUCAGGAAGUUCCAAGAACAAACCAAGUUACUGCAAAUUAUAUAUACAUUUUAAAGAGGUAACCAAGAAAUAAAGGAACACAUUUAUCUUUUCCAACUUUUGAAAAAGAUUUCAUCACUCUCUGAAUUUCUGGAGCAGAGCUGCAGCCGGGGUGCAGGCAGCUGCCUGACAUCCUGCUGCAGGAACACAGCAGCUCCAGAGAAGCCUUUGCUCAGUCACCUUCCCCCCAGCUCUUCUGAGCUCUGCAGGAUUCUUGGCCAUACCACAACCUGCUCCUGAAAGCACCCAGAUGCUCUCAGUCAGCUUACACGGCCUCAGGCUUUGUCCACCUGCACACUGCAGCCACAUGAACCACACUGUGGACCUUCAACUGGGAGCAGCAUUUCAGCACAGUGCAGUUUUGUGUCAACAGAGACUGAGAUGCAGGUAGAGGGAGAACAUCACAAACUGCUGGUGGACAACUGCUGUGUCCAUCUUCCUACUAUCCUGCUAAGCAGCACACAAACUUCUGAAGCUUUCCCAGCCUUUUAACCACAACAGAAGCUUAUCAACAUCCCAAGAGCCCCGUCCCCAUCCCG
rnacentral:lncRNA from 1 species